rnacentral:rRNA from 1 species
GUCCACGCCUUAAACGAUGAGAACUAGACGUUGAGAGGGUUAGCCUCCCAGUGUCGCAGCUAACGCGCUAAGUUCUCCGCCUGGGGAGUACGGCCGCAAGGUUGAAACUCAAAGGAAUUGACGGGGACCCCGCACAAGCGGUGGAGCAUGUGGUUUAAUUCGAUGCAACGCGAAGAACCUUACCUGGCCUUUACAUCCACGGAAUUCUGCAGAGAUGUGGAAGUGCCUUCGGGAACCGUUAGACAGGUGCUGCAUGGCUGUCGU